rnacentral:rRNA from 1 species
GACGAACGCUGGCGGCGUGCCUAAUACAUGCAAGUAGAACGCACAGGAUGCACCGUAGUUUACUACACCGUAUUCUGUGAGUUGCGAACGGGUGAGUAACGCGUAGGUAACCUGCCUGGUAGCGGGGGAUAACUAUUGGAAACGAUAGCUAAUACCGCAUAAGAACAUUUACUGCAUGGUAGAUGUUUAAAAGGUGCAAAUGCAUCACUACCAGAUGGACCUGCGUUGUAUUAGCUAGUAGGUGAGGUAACGGCUCACCUAGGCGACGAUACAUAGCCGACCUGAGAGGGUGAUCGGCCACACUGGGACUGAGACACGGCCCAGACUCCUACGGGAGGCAGCAGUGGGAAUCUUCGGCAAUGGGGGGAACCCUGACCGAGCAACGCCGCGUGAGUGAAGAAGGUUUUCGGAUCGUAAAGCUCUGUUGUUAAGGAAGAACGAGUGUGAGAAUGGAAAGUUCAUAC